GAGUUUGAUCGUGGCUCAGAAUGAACGCUGGCGGCGUGCUUUACACAUGCAAGUCGAGCGAGGCGUCCCGCAAGGGAUAGUCGAGCGGCGAACGGGGUGAGUAACGCGUGGAUAACCUGCCCUGAGGUGGGGGAUAACCAAGGGAAACUUUGGCGUAAUACCGCAUGAUACCGAGAGGUCAAAGGGGGCUCGCAAGGGCUCUCGCCAGUAGGAGGGGUCCGCGUACGAUUAGCUAGUUGGUAGGGUAAUGGCCUACCAAGGCGACGAUCGUUAGCCGGCCUGAGAGGGUGAUCGGCCACACUGGAACUGAGACACGGUCCAGACUCCUACGGGAGGCAGCAGUGGGGAAUUUUGCGCAAUGGGGCUAACGCCUGACGCAGUCAACGCCGCGUGGAGGAUGAAGGUCCUUGGAUUGUAAACUCCUGUCAGCAGGGAAAAAGCGAAUCGGUCUAAUACACCGGUGAGUUGAUUGUACCUGCAGAGGAAGCCCGGCUAACUCUGUGCCAGCCGCCGCCGU
rnacentral:rRNA from 1 species